AUUGAACGCUGGCGGCAGGCCUAACACAUGCAAGUCGAGCGGAUGAAGGGAGCUUGCUCCUGGCUUCAGCGGCCGACGGGUGAGUAAUGCCUAGGAAUCUGCCUGGUAGUGGGGAAUAACGUCAGGACACGGGCGCUAAUACCGCAUCCGUCAUGAGGGUGAACGUCGGGGAUCUUCGGACCUCACGCUAUCAGAUGAGCCUAGGUCGGAUUAGCUAGUUGGUGGGGUAAAGGCCUACCAAGGCGACGAUCCGUAACUGGUCUGAGAGGAUGAUCAGUCACACUGGAACUGAGACACGGUCCAGACUCCUACGGGAGGCAGCAGUGGGGAAUCUUGGACAAUGGGCGAAAGCCUGAUCCAGCAAUGCCGCGUGUGUGAAGAAGGUCUUCGGAUUGUAAAGCACUUUUAGUUGGGAGGAAGGGCAGUGAGUUUAUCCCUUGCUGUUUUGACGUUACCAACAGAAUAAGCACCGGCUAACUUCGUG
rnacentral:rRNA from 1 species